GUGAAUACGUUCCCGGGCCUUGUACACACCGCCCGUCACACCAUGGGAGUGGGCUGCAAAAGAAGUGGGUAGUUUAACCUUCGGGGGGACGCUCACCACUUUGUGGUUCAUGACUGGGGUGAAGUCGUAACAAGGUAGCCCUAGGGGAACCUGGGGCUGGAUCACCUCCUUA
rnacentral:ncRNA from 2 species